rnacentral:lncRNA from 1 species
GGGGAGGUUGGUGACGGCGCGAGGCCCGUGGAGGCGGAGCGUGACGGAUUCGUAGGCGGAGGCGGCCUCCUCGCCGGUGCCACAAGCGCCGCCGCUGGCCCUGGUCCACUCCCCCGACCCCCCCGCCGCACGCCCGCGGAGGGAGUAGCUAAGAACCGGUGCAAUAACUUGCUUUCCCAAACAUGAAGAAAAUAUACGACGGUCACCCGUGCAGAUUAAAACAUUGGAGGUACUCAAAUCCUUUUUUUUCCUUUUUUUAUACUGAAGUCUACAUAUAGGAAGACAUGAUUUCAGCAUGC